ensembl:misc_RNA Metazoa_SRP Metazoan signal recognition particle RNA
GCCGGGCGCGGUGGCUCAUGCCUGUAAUCCCAGCACUUUGGGAGGCCGAGGCAGGUGGAUCACCUGAGGUCAGGAGUUCAAGACCAGCCUGGCCAACAUGGUGAAACCCUGUCUCUA